GCUCCCAUGACGCUUCUGUGCAACAGUUAUGUGACGUCAUAUGCGCUGUGCCGGAGACGUCAUGAGCGUCCUGCUGCCCAACAUGGCGGACUUUGAUACCAUUUCUGAGUUAGAAGAGGAAGAUGAGAGGAUUGUGAGCGAGGAGCAUGUCGUCAGAUACUGUCCCGAGCCCGUGGUCAUGCGAGGUGCUGGCCACAUCACCGUGUUUGGACUUAGCAACAAAUUCGACAGCGAGUUCCCCUCUGUUCUCACAGGAAAGGUUGCCCCAGAAGAGUUCAAGACGAGUGUGAAUCGAAUCAAUGCAUGCUUAAAGAAGAAUGUGCCGGUCAAUGUAAAAUGGCUGCUAUGCGGCUGCCUGUGCUGUUGCUGUACCGUGGGUUGCAGUCUUUGGCCUGUCGUAUGUCUUAACAAAAGGACACGAAGAUCCAUACAAAAACUGUUAGAAUGGGAAAACAACAGAUUAUAUCACAAGCCAUUUUUGUCUGAUCCAUUGAUCUAGUGCAGAGGCUGACCAGACUACGGAAAGGUCAGCAGUAAAAAAGCCACCUUCGUUUUGUUGUGUCUCGAAGCUCUGAUUGACAGCCAGUAGCGGUGCAGACACAUUAAGGAAAUGCUUGACCUCAGCUAACCCUUCUGGGGCUACACUGGAAACUCAGCAGAAGAAAAUGCGAGAGCAGCAACAUGAUGGAAUAUGUUAUUCUUAUAGAAUUCUCACCAAAAUAUCCUAUAUUUAGACCUGACUGAAAGGACUUCUGAUGGAUGUUGUUGGAAGGCCCUUGAUUUUUCUCCUUAGUGCCUUGUAUAUAUGUCGGAUUGAGGGUCUUUACUGGGUUUCAACCAGACCUCCUGUCCCAGUAACCUUGUACAGUAGAAUUCGCAACACUGUCACUUUGCUUUAGAGCAGAUUUUGCACAUGUAGUAGAAGAGCUGUUAUGUUGCACUGAGAUGUUAUGUUACAGAUAAGGAGUGAUGGAACGAACGCACGCAAGCUAUGAUACGGUUAAAAAGUGCAUUUACCCCAAAGAGCCAUCAAGUCGACCCUACCUACACACUAUAUUAUUGAUAUCAUUGACCAGAACAAGGCACCUUUUGGUGUGAAUUUGCCUUAUGUUAAAAGACAACCUUUUUUUAAACAGAAGUGUGUGUACAGGAUCCAAAAUUGUGUAAUGAUUAAGUCUGGGUGCCAUUGAAGCCAGCUUGAAGUAAUAAGUUAGCAAGAUGAUUUUUUUGGCACUUUUAUGAUCGUCGUCUACUUAAUACACGGGGAAGUCAAUCGACUUGUAAAUAUCAUAGGCAAGAUGUACAGUGUGGUAUGCCAUGUUUACAUUAGCUGUUUAUUACUUUAUUGCCAAGAUAUUACCGUAGCAUAGUUGUUUAUAAACUGUUUCGUGUAACUUUACAGUUUGUAUGGACCUGUUUACCCAGUAAGCCAUAAAAUGUGUGGACAUGAUGCCAUUUCAGUUAAGGCUGAAAAUUGCACACGGGGACAACAGAAUUUUACUUCUUGUCCUAGACAUAUUGAGGUUUUUGAUAUACUGCGAUGCGAUGUCAUCACCCAGCAAGCAAUUUUGCAUUUAAAUGACGUCUAAGCCAUCCAAACAUCCCAGACACUUAGGCUAAAACAAAGCUGUCAGUGAAAAUGUAAUAGAUGUCUAACCAUAGCCCAAAGAAUAAUAAACAAAUGAAACCGAA